rnacentral:lncRNA from 1 species
GCUCAUUAUCACUCUCCUCUCCACCAACAUGUCCUUUGCCGACGGCGAUAGCCAAAUAAGGGAACAAAAAGCAAAUCGCCGGCGACAGAGACAGACUGACAGAUAAUGGAAUGAAAUUUAGCAGCAGGGUACCCACGAGACAGCAAUCUAGUGAGAGAGGGAGAGAUAGCAACGGAAAUUACAAAGGGAGCGGCAUUGUUUUUGUGAAAGAAACGGACAAGGGCGAGAGGAACUAAGUGAGAGAAAGAGAGAGACUUCGCUUUCACGUCAAAACACAGAAACCCAAAGAAAGAAACUCUAAAGAAAUCCAAAAUUUAAUUUCAACUGACGAAGGAAAAUGACUUUAUUUGACGGAAAGAGACAUGCCCACUAAGC